CCCUUAGAUGUUCUGGGCUGCACGCGCGCUACACUGAAUGAAUCAGCGAGUGUAUGUCCUAGGCCGAAAGGUCCGGGUAACCCGUUGAACCUCAUUCGUGAUUGGGAUAGGGACUUGCAAUUGUUUCCCUUGAACGAGGAAUUCCCAGUAAGCGCAAGUCAUCAGCUUGCGUUGAUUACGUCCCUGCCCUUUGUACACACCGCCCGUCGCUCCUACCGAUUGGGUGUGCUGGUGAAAUGUUCGGAUCGGCCGUUUGUCGCGGUUUCCGCGUCAUGUGGCUGAGAAGUUCAUUAAACCCUCCCACCUAGAGGAAGGAGAAGUCGUAACA
rnacentral:rRNA from 1 species